rnacentral:rRNA from 1 species
AUCUGGGCGGCGGAAUUCAGGAUGGCUGGCGCGUCUUCGCGGCGCGUCGGCCGUUUGAUAUUUCCGUCGCCGAUACGCAGACGUCACGACCUGUUCGCGGUCGGUCCCUGCUCGGAGGAGCCGCGUUCGAGUUCGUUGCGUGGCGCGUUUCGGCGUGUCACGCGGCGAAGGCGCGGAUCUCUGGCUGGCCGUCGGACAGUACGCUUAACGGUGUCCGGUGUCGCCUCCGCGCGUGCACCGGUACCGGUCAGCGACGAAUUCUUCGGGCCUCUUUCCGACCCGUCUUGAAACACGGACCAAGGAGUCUAACAUGCGCGCGAGUCGCGGGGUGUCGAGCGUACUUCGGUGCGUUCGUUACGUUGCGAAACCCGUACAUGUCGAAGGCGUAAUGAAAGUGAAUGGGGAAGAUGGUGUUCCGAGUACACGUUCCGCGAUCGUCGGUAUCGCGGCCGGACACCCGCAUUCCCGGGGCGUCUCAACGGCCCGUCGCUGACGCGGACAGUCGUCUCUCGGGGCGGCUGUCGGUCGGCGAUGAACCGA